CAGGCCAGAUUUCCAGGCAGGUGAGAGAGUGAGAUGUUUGUAUGUGUGUAGUCAGGCCAGAUUUCUAGGCAGGUGAGAGAGUGAGAUGUUUGUAUGUGUGUAGUCAGGCCAGAUUUCUAGGCAGGUGAGAGAGUGAGAUGUUUGUAUGUUUGUAGUCAGGCCAGAUUUCUAGGCAGGUGACAGAGUGAGAUGUUUGUACGUGUGUAGUCAGGCCAGAUUUCUAGGCAGGUGACAGAGUGAGAUGUUUGUAUGUGUGUAGUCAGGCCAGAUUUCUAGGCAGGUGACAGAGUGAGAUGUUUGUAUGUGUGUAGUCAGGCCAGAUUUCUAGGCAGGUGACAGAGUGAGAUGUUUGUAUGUGUGUAGUCAGGCCAGAUUUCUAGGCAGGUGACAGAGUGAGAUGUUUGUAUGUUUGUAGUCAGGCCAGAUUUCCAGGCAGGUGAGAGAGUGAGAUGUUUGUAUGUGUGUAGUCAGGCCAGAUUUCUAGGCAGGUGAGAGAGUGAGAUGUUUGUAUGUUUGUAGUCAGGCCAGAUUUCUAGGCAGGUGAGAGAGUGAGAUGUUUGUAUGUGUGUAGUCAGGCCAGAUUUCUAGGCAGGUGAGAGAGUGAGAUGUUUGUAUGUUUGUAGUCAGGCCAGAUUUCCAGGCAGGUGAGAGAGUGAGAUGUUUGUAUGUGUGUAGUCAGGCCAGAUUUCUAGGCAGGUGAGAGAGUGAGAUGUUUGUAUGUUUGUAGUCAGGCCAGAUUUCUAGGCAGGUGAGAGAGUGAGAUGUUUGUAUGUGUGUAGUCAGGCCAGAUUUCCAGGCAGGUGAGAGAGUGAGAUGUUUGUAUGUGUGUAGUCAGGCCAGAUUUCUAGGCAGGUGAAAGAGUGAGAUCUUCUAAACAGACAGGCUGCCAUGUUGCUGAUGGUAGUGAGCUUGGUGUGAUCAGUAUUGUAAUGCCUUUUAGUUCUGACUGCAGUGACUAAUUUCUCACAACGUAUGACUGUUAAUACUCCUCUCUCUCUCCCCCCACUCUCCUCUCUUCUCUCUCUCUCUCUCCUCUCGUUCUCUCUCUCUCUCUCUCCUCUCGUUCUCUCUCUCCUCUCGUUCUCUCUCUCCUCUCGUUCUCUCUCUCCUCUCGUUCUCUCUCUCCUCUCGUUCUCUCUCUCCUCUCGUUCUCUCUCUCCUCUCGUUCUCUCUCUCCUCUCGUUCUCUCUCUCCUCUCGUUCUCUCUCUCCUCUCGUUCUCUCUCUCCUCUCGUUCUCUCUCUCCUCUCGUUCUCUCUCUCCUCUCGUUCUCUCUCUCCUCUCGUUCUCUCUCCUCUCGUUCUCUCUCCUCUCGUUCUCUCUCCUCUCGUUCUCUCUCCUCUCGUUCUCUCUCCUCUCGUUC